rnacentral:rRNA from 1 species
GACUACUGGGGUAUCUAAUCCUGUUUGCUCCCCACGCUUUCGUGCCUCAGUGUCAGUUACAGUCCAGCAACUCGCCUUCGCCACUGGUGUUCCUCCUAAUAUCUACGCAUUCCACCGCUACACUAGGAAUUCCAGUUGCCCCUCCUGCACUCAAGUCCAACAGUUUUAGUAGUAGUGCCGAGGUUGAGCCCCGGAGUUACGCUACUAACUUGCUGAACCACCUACGCACCCUUUACGCCCAGUCAUUCCGGAUAACGCUUGCCUCCUACGUAUUACCGCGGCUGCUGGCACGUAGUUAGCCGAGGCUUAUUCCUAAGGUACCGUCACUUUCUUCUUCCCUUAGAAAAGAACUUUACAAUCCGAAGACCUUCAUCAUUCACGCGGCGUUGCUGGGUCAGAGUUGCCUCCAUUGCCCAAUAUUCCCCACUGAUGCCCCCCGUAGG